rnacentral:lncRNA from 1 species
GAAGUAUGUAGUCGCAGGUAUGAAAUCCCCUCCUAUAGAUCGGCCCUUAUAACCAAUCUAAAAGCAGGUGGUAGCAUCCAUAGGUGUAAUACCACUAUUACAUCAAUAGGUAUAGCUUAUCAGGCCAGUUGUUACUGUAGCUUGCAGAGUUCAUAGCCAAAUAGUAGUGGGAGAUUGUGUUUGCACUCUCAGAUAUAAAACAAAACAAAACAAAACAAAAUAAAACAAAACAAAAAAACAUGUUAAAGAGUCAAAGGCAGGCUCUCCAUAUUGGAGAGAGUUUAUAGCAUUUGGUUUUUCUGGGUGGCGUUUUUAAAUUAGUUUUGUUUGCUUGUUUUUCAUUUUUGUAUUGCUCGUUUUUCUGGUUCUGUGAAAAGACACUGUGAUCGAGGCAAGUUGGAGAAAAAAAAAAAAGAUUUAUUGGGGGCUUACAGUUCCAAAGGGAUAGGAGUCAAUUACUAGCAUGGUGGGCAUGGCAACAGGCAGGCAUCAUGCUGGGGCAGCUCCCAUCUUAAACUGUAAACAGAAAGCAGAGAAUAGCAUGUGGCUUUUAAACCUCAAAGCCUACCUCUAGUAACAUACUUUCACCAUAUCUCCUAAGCCUACCCAAACAGCACCACCAACAGGAGACUGAGAAUUUGAACAUAUGAGCCUGUGGGGACAUUUUUAUCAAACCAUCGCAGUUUUAAAAUACUGUAUGUGUUAAUUAAUGAAAAUAUUUUAAAAAAUAUAUAAAACCGAUAGGGAAGAGUGAGAAUAAAUCCCUUGUUCAUAAAUAACAAGAUUGAAGGUGUUAAUCCCAUCUGGCUUAGUUUCUAAGCUCCCUGUCUUUCCGAAGCAUUGGCUGUUGUCAUAAAUGGUGACAUGGAGGGAUUAAGGGAUCAAGUCCUCAAGUCAGACUUCCUAGAGUCACGGUUUAUACCUCACUUGCGUUAUGUGACCUCGGAUGAACUAACAACCCAGUAUUUCCAUGUCUUUAUGGGUUAAGUAUAACAGCACGUUACUGACCAUUUUACCUGAUAAAGUUUUAUACCCCAACCUUUCCGUAUAUAGAAUUCAAUAAGCUUCCGUUGUAAAUGAUCAGUUAUUGUGACUUUCUAUGAAGAAUUAUGAAUACUAGAAUUGCCAAUAUUUAAAUACGUUUAAAUUAUGCUCCUUAUGUCUUUUCAUUUAUCUAUAAUUUCAUGUGUACCCCACUUCCAGAGGUGAAGCUAAAUUGCCCUAACUUGAGAUGACUGCUCUUUAUGCCUCAGUCUUAGCAGAUAGGGUGGAGGAGAGACCGUGCUGAAGCUACUGGGACCUUGUCUUGCUCUCUCUGUUUAGUCAUUCUGGGGAAGCUGGCUGCCAUGUCAUUGGAAGCAACCCUAUGGCACAUUCAUGUGCUUUGUACUUUAGCUCACAUCAGGCUUUUGAAUGACUGCGAGUCACACCAGCAUCUCCACC